rnacentral:lncRNA from 1 species
AACAAUUUUCUAGCUAGAAUUUCAGAUCAAAAAAAGGGGAUAAUUCAUGUUGUGUGGUUACAGCGGCCAUACACAUAGAAGUGACUCCAUUCUGAAGCAUCUGCCCAGUACGGGGGCAAAAGUCACAACAAUAUACUUGCAAACAUAGACAGAGCUAAGACUUCAUAUCUUUGCUAUCAGCCAGAGCUUCAGCUCCGAUCCCUAAGUUAAUAUUCGCAUCUUCUCAGUAACAAUGCUGUUAUGCCCAACUUCUGUGAUCACGUCACACAAGGAUCAUGGACUGAUUACAGGUCACGAUUACAUGGGCACAAGAGCAAAGCAUACACAUGCCAAAAGACAGAAUAUGCGCUGACUGAAUAACCUGCACGGAAGGCAUUAGCACUACGGUAAUGUCCCUAAAAUCUACACCAGAAAUGUAGCAAAAAUCCUGACAAUUAGAAUAUAUUGUAAAACAGAAUGACAAAGACACUUCAGUAUAUAUAACCAAUGAAACUCAGUUAUCAACAAAACUGAGCUAACUAAUUUAAAUGGGCAAAAAUGGAUUUGAUUGUGGUAACCAGUUAGAUCACAAGGUAAUAGUGUCUCCCGUGCUUGAGGCCGGUGCAGGCACGUUGGACCUGGCGAAGGACUGGAUCCAUCGGUGCGAUUUAUGCGGCCAUAUCCAUCUGCAAGGGAGAACGGUGAGAUGGUCAACGAAGAAGCAUUAGAGCAACAAAAGUCCUCCUGAACCUUUGAUUCUGUGGAGGGCAGGUAAAAGUAAAAUUAUGUUCCAAAAUUAUUUGAUAACAAGUUAAGUUCGAAAGUGAAACUUGAUCUUACAACAGUGCGAAAAAUAACUAUGAAAUGCUGAGGAUCAUCUCCCUUCAGAAAUGUCAUCAAUUAAGAAUGCUAAAAAGAUCAUCACAAAUACAUAUACAUAAGUGUAUGACACUUGGUCCAGCCUACCUGAAGGCCUUAUCUGUGGCUAUAAAGGGACGAUUGUAGGGCACUUAUACAAAGACAAUGUCCUCCUCAAAGUGCACGGCCGACACGGAAUCUGCUGCCUUCAGUCUGUCCUAAUUUUGCCAUGCACCCCAUGUCUGAUUAUCCACAAGAGGUAUGCCAAACAACAAAUCAGCUGGACCAUGAAACAGAAAUACAAUAAAUGUAUGUGGAAGGUAAUUUUCCUUUAUUGGCAAAACAUUUGAUAAUGGAUUAAACCAACACCAAUCACUACUUUAUCGCGCAUCUAUUGCCAAAAUGGCAGCUUCUCUUAUAGAUCAUAGCAAUAAAUUUAACUAAAAUAUAAGGCAAUAAUUUGGUUGACUGAACCAGACACUUGUUGUAGCCACCUACUCCAAAUGUGUGCGUGUGCGUGUGUGGCUAUCUCUAAAUCGAAUAAACCUCCAAGUAUGCAAUUCAUGAGCACAAAACAGAAAUUAUAAUUCAGUAACUUAGAAAUUAAUCAAAUAGAGGGAUCCUAAUCAUAAUGUUUUACAUACAUAUAGAUCAAACAAAUUAGGAAAUUUCUGAAGUUAGAGAGGACUGAAAAAUGAAGCGGGAGGAGAGAAAUCAUGACUCACCUCACCCAACAACAAGGUGGAAAUUGCAACCCAAAAAAAGAGAUGCCCUUCCCUCUCUCAGUGACGAGCAUGCAUGCCUUCAGGAGGCGCCGACCUCAAUCUCCUUCCUUCCUUGGAUGUGUUAUCUAAGUACAAAUUCCAUAAAAAAUACAAAUCAUCCAAAGGAGAUUACUUUCCAGUAGCCAGG